GAAAAUUUAUCAGAAGAUGAUGCAAAUGUUGUCAACUUCAUUAAAGAUAAUUUUAUGGUUCAGCCAUCAGUCUAUUUAUAUAAUCUUAAUGAACAUUUUAAGAUUGAUUUUUCAAUGGGGCAAAGUGAAAUUGUUUAUCGCUAUUAUAAAAAGAUGGAAGAAUUAGCCAUCAGUAGGCCCAGCCUGGAUUCAUGGGGCUCUAUUCAAAUUUAAAAAAAAAUAAAUACCUAGGCUAGGCCAAAUAUUUUAAAACCAUCGCUAUUAUUAUUUAUAUAAAUUAAAAUAAAUAAAAUAUAUUUUAAAAAAAUUAUGUUAGCUGGGCCUAAAAACU